UCGUAACAAGGUCUCCGUAGGUGAACCUGCGGAAGGAUCAUUU
rnacentral:rRNA from 1 species